CUUGUUUUUUCACCUGCCUUCUAAGAAGAAGAGAGAUAAAAUGAAUCUUAAAACAGUUUUGGUUUUUCUCGCCAUGAUGGUAGCAGUGACCGUUUCUCACCGCCACCGCCAUCAUCACCACCAUCAUCACUCCUCCUCCGUCAAACACAUCCAUCACUACGAGUCGGGAUCAUCUGGAUCUUCAGGAUCUUCAUCCUCCGGAUCAUCAGGAUGUUGUUGCGGAGGAAGUUCCGGAUCUUCUGAAUCCUCAGAUGAAGAUUACCCCAUCCCAAUCCCAAUCCCAAUCUCCAGCGGUGGCGGCAGCAGCGGUAGCAGCGGUUCCUCCGACGCCGCCCUCCUACAGGCUCUCAUCAACGCUGGCAAAUAAAUGAAUCGAUAGCAAAUACCUGUUACGAUCCUGCGUCAGCUCUUUGUAGCCAUCAUUUGUUGUUAUUGUUAAUGUUUUCCUUAAUAAAUGGAUUAACACUAUAAAAAGA